UUUGUAUUCAACUAACAGUCUUUUAUGAUUAGCUUGUUCUUCAUGAAUUUUCCCUAAUCUGCAGCUUUAAUCUUGCCCUAAUCUUUAUCAGUGUGUAUUAUUUUUCUUCUAAUCUUCAGCUUAAAUCUUGCCCUAACCUGAAGGCCUGAUAUUUUCCUAUGCACUAUAGAGAUCUUCUGUCAGGAUCCAAUUGAUGACGUUCUAGAGGAUUUCAGUGAAAGGAUCAUAAAUUGUCCCCAUCAGCAGAGGAGGAAUUUCAUGGAGAGAAGGUUUUGAGUUUAUCCUUGUAGAAAAUUUCACUCUUAGUCUUAACUUUAUUCUGUCUGGUUUCUUUUGAUGUGAUUGUAAUUCUCCCCAUAUCCACUUUUAUUAUUUUGCUCAACUACUCCAUGGAAUGUAUACAUGUGUUUGGACUUUCCACUUGAAGAAACUAAGGAUGUGGACCGGUGGCAUUGCUUCAAAAAUACAUUUGGUUGUUGUUGAAUGGACAGUAUCUACUACUACGGUUACAUUGGAAAAUUUUCCAUAGCCCCAAGUAUUAUCUUUCAUGGGGAAGAGGAUGAAGGCGAGGAAGAUAGAUCGGGGAUAUGUUGCGGCCACUGAUAUAAAUAAGAAAAGGUAUAUCAGAGCUUGUCACAGGACAUUCUUUAUAGUCGAGCUUUUAACUUGUUUUAUGAGGCCAACCUCUCAAAUACAGACCUUUGCACCCAAUAGUGAAAGCUGUAAUAUACGCCAAUAAUGGAGAAUGUGCAGCACCACUUUGGAACUCGUCAUCAAUUCAUCGGAAAAAGAACAGAAGUCAAGGUAGCAGUUAAGAAGGAAGAAAGGAAAAAAAAAAAAAAGAAAAAA